rnacentral:rRNA from 1 species
UACGGGGGGGGGCAAGCGUUGUUCGGAAUUACUGGGCGUAAAGGGCUCGUAGGUGGCCGACUAAGUCAGACGUGAAAUCCCUCGGCUUAACCGGGGAACUGCGUCUGAUACUGGAUGGCUUGAGUUUGGGAGAGGGACGCGGAAUUCCAGGUGUAGCGGUGAAAUGCGUAGAUAUCAGGAGGAACACCCAUAGCGAAGGCAGCUUGCUGGGACGUUACUGACGCUAAGGCGCGAAAGCGUGGGGAGCAAACAGG